rnacentral:rRNA from 1 species
CUCAGUAACACGUGGAUAACCUACCCUUAGGACCGGAAUAACCCCGGGAAACUGGGGAUAAUACCGGAUAAGCCAUAGACGCUGGAAUGCCCUAUGGUUCAAAGCUCCGGCGCCUAAGGAUGGAUCUGCGGUCUAUCAGGUUGUAGUGGGUGUAACGUACCUACUAGCCGACGACGGAUACGGGUUGUGAGAGCAAGAGCCCGGAGAUGGAUUCUGAGACACGAAUCCAGGCCCUACGGGGUGCAGCAGGCGCGAACACUUUACAAUGCGGGAAACCGCGAUAAGGGAACCCCGAGUGCCAGCAUCAAAUGUUGGCUGUCCAGAUGAUUAAAAUCAUUUGUUAGCAAGGGCCGGGCAAGACCGGUGCCAGCCGCCGCGGUAACACCGGCGGCCCGAGUGGUAGCCGUUUUUAUUGGGUCUAAAGGGUCCGUAGCCGGCCUGAUAAGUCCUUUGGGAAAUCUGGCAGCAUAACUGUCAGGCUUCUAAGGGAUACUGUCAGGCUUGGGACCGGAAGAGGUAAGGGGUACUCCAGGGGUAGGAGUGAAAUCUUGUAAUCCCUGGGGGACCAUCUGUGGCGAAGGCGCCUUACCAGAACGGGUCCGACGGUGAGGGACGAAAGCUAGGGGAGCAAACCGGAUUAGAUACCCGGGUAGUCCUAGCUGUAAACGAUGCUCGCUAGGUGUCAGACACGGUGCGACCGUGUUUGGUGCCGCAGGGAAGCCGCAAGCGUUCCCCUGGGAAGUACGGUCGCAAGGCUGAACUAAAG